rnacentral:lncRNA from 1 species
GGACAUAGCCGAAUUCUGAGAUCUCUAAAGGCUCGAUUUUUGUUAUCAUUUAAGGGGUUAGAUCUGCAUCAGAAUAAAGUAGGAGUUAAUUGGAAUCAUUGACUGAAGGAACCGGUGGUAAGUUUUCGAACCUAAUCUUUAUUUCAGGUUUUAGAAAAAGCCAAAACCCCCUAAAGGUUAGGGAGCCUGUCGAUUUGGGCUUAUAGCUCUAAGGG